rnacentral:rRNA from 1 species
GACGAACCGUGUGAACGUUGUUCGGAAUCACUGGGCUUAAAGGGCGCGUAGGCGGACCACCAAGUCCGGGGUGAAAUCCUUCGGCUUAACCGGAGAAUUGCCUGGGAUACUGGUGGUCUUGAGGGAGGUAGGGGCACGCGGAACUUCCGGUGGAGCGGUGAAAUGCGUUGAUAUCGGAAGGAACGCCGGUGGCGAAAGCGGCGUGCUGGCCCUCUUCUGACGCUGAGGCGCGAAAGCCAGGGGAGUGAACGGG